ACCGCUGUGGUUUGACCUGCUCAAUAUCCCUUCUUCCUGAAACAGAAUCUAUCUUUUCUUCUUGGGGAGCCACCCCUCCACUACUUUUAGCCCUUGGCUUAGGUUCUUCUUUUAAGACUCAGUUCUACCAGGAGGUAACCUCUGGUAAAUUCUCAAAUCCUAGUGCCAGGGUUAGGCAUGCGAUCAAGGCAAUAUAUCCAAGAAGCGGUAUGGGAGGCAAUUUGAGCCAAUGAGAUGCAACUCAAUACCUGGAGCCCCUGGGCCAGAGACUUGGAGUUUGUAUAUCUGCAAUUGUUGGGGUUUUGCCUUCUCUCCAAGAAAGCCUGAGUGAGGAUGAAGACAACAGGAUAAAGCAGAAACGAGAGGGAGAGAUGGAUUCCUCCUGACACCAUUUGAGCUCCUCCUUCUCCAGCUGAGCGUGAGCUAGCCCUGCAUUUUCCCGUUGCGUGGGCUCGUAAAUUCUCUUUGUGCUUGAGUGGGUUUGAGGAGCAUUUCUCAAGGAUGGAUCAUAACUGACUAUUGUGUGUCUCAAGGUUGGCUCCAAACCAGCAGAAGCUGAAUAAAGAACUGUGAACUUGGAAUGACUGUGGGACGCUAGGCUCUUACUGGUCCUAACUGAAGACUUUUUCCCAACAGCGAGCAAUGGGGCUUCUUUUAACCAACUCUAUUUACAACCUUAGAUUCAUUCCGUUCUUUGCAAAGUACUGGAUUUCAACACUUAAUUAGCAAUAACCACAUGAACCUACCCUGGCAAGCCCUUUAACAACUCUGAAUUUUCCCUCUCAGUGAGCUACUACUUAAUUCAGUAAAUUUCUCCCUAUCCUGUAUUCCUGUGGCUAGCAAGUCAAUAGACUCAGCUUUUAUUUUAUUUUGAGUUGGAGUCUCGCUCUGUCAUUCAGGCUAGAGUGCAGUAGCUUCAUUUUGGCUCACUGCAACCUCUGCCUCCCGGGUUCAAGCGAUUCUCUUGCCUCAGCCUCCUGGGUAGCUGGGACUACAGGCAUGUGCCACCAUGCCCAGCUAAUUUCUGCAUUUCUAGUGGAGAUGGGGUUUCACCAUGUUGGCCAGGCUGGUCUUGAACUCCUCACCUCAAGUGAUCCACCGGCCUCGGCCUCCCAAAGUGCUGGGAUUACAGGCAUGAGCCAGUGCUCCUGACCUCAACUUUUAAUUUUUAUCUAUCGAUCUAGUCUAUUAUUACCCGCUACUUACCUACCCAUCCAUCCAUUCAUCCAUCCAUCCAUCUGCCCAUCCUUUUUUUUGUUUAUUAGCUCUGGUCUUUGUUAUAUUUGUUGAUAGGCCCAAGUAAAUUAGUAUGUGUAAAACUCACUUAAAACAGUGCUUAGCACAUGGUAAGCAUAAUAUGUGAUAGCCCUUAUGAUCUAGUAACUCACCAGUAUCUUGUGUGUAUUAGAACAAUGUGUCUCUGUAAUAUUUUAAUUAUAUCUCUAUAAGAGCAUACAUAAAUGACAAUAUAUAAAUCUCAAUAACAGAAUGUUUCUAACCCAAGUUUUAAGUAAUGAUAUGUGUUCAGGAAUACUUCAUCUGGCAUCUAGGGGAAUGGUUGGGAAGAUUUUGAGCUUCUCCAGUGGGAAAAAGGCUGGCAUAUUCAGGUCUAACUUCAGAGUCAAAGUCUUUGAAGUUAAUAAAUAGUUUUUAAUUUUGAAUAAAAUAAAAACUAUUUUUUUUAGUUUGAAGAAAGACUAUUCA
rnacentral:lncRNA from 10 species